UACCCCGUCGAAAGACGGGACAAUCCCGCAUACGCUCUACGGAGGAAAGCCGCAAGGCGCUCCGGGACGGGCCUGCGGCCCAUCAGGUAGUUGGUGUGGUAAUGGCGCACCAAGCCAGUGACGGGUACCCGGUCUGAGAGGACGGCCGGGCAGACUGGGACUGCGACACGGCCCAGACUCCUACGGGAGGCAGCAGCAAGGAAUUUUCCCCAAUGGGCACACGCCUGAGGGAGCAACGCCGCGUGGAGGACGACGGCCUUCGGGUUGUAAACUCCUUUCGGGUGGGACGAAACUGACGGUACCACCAGAAGCAGCCCCGGCUAACUCUGUGCCAGCAGCCGCGGUAAGACAGAGGGGGCAAGCGUUGUCCGGAGUUACUGGGCGUAAAGGGCGCGGAGGCGGUCUGCUGCGUCGGCGCUGAAAGCGCCCCGCUUAACGGGGCGAGGCGCGCCGAUACGAGCAGGCUGGAGGCGAGCAGAGGGUGGUGGAAUUCCGGGUGGAGCGGUGAAAUGCGUAGAGAUCCGGAGGAACGCCGGUGGAGCAGUCGGCCACCUGGGCUCGACCUGACGCUGCGGCGCGACCGCGUGGGGAGCAAACCGGAUUAGAUACCCGGGUAGUCCACGCCGUAAACGAUGCCGGCUCGGCGUUUGGCGCGCGUGAGCGUGCUGGGCGCCUUAGCUAA
rnacentral:rRNA from 1 species